CCUACGGGUGGCAGCAGUGGGGAAUAUUGGACAAUGGGGGAAACCCUGAUGCAGCGAAGCCGCGUGAGUGAAGAAGUAUUUCGGUGUGUAAAGCUCUAUCAGCAGGGAAGAAAAUGACGGUACCUGAUUAAGAAGCCACGGCUAACUACGUGCAAGCAGCCGCGGUAAUACGUCGGGGGCAAGCGUUAUCCGGAUUUACUGGGUGUUAAGGGAGCGUAGAGGGCAGCAUAAGUCUGGAGUGAAAUGCCGGGGCUUAACCCCGGAACUGCUUUGGAAACUGUGCAGCUAGAGUGCAGGUGAGGUAAGUGGAAUUCGUGGUGUAGCGGUGAAAUGCGUAGAUAUUAGGAGGAACACCAGUGGCGAAGGCGGCUUACUGGACUGUAACUGACGUUGAGGCUCGAAAGCGUGGGGAGCAAACAGGAUUAGAUACCCGGGUAGUC
rnacentral:rRNA from 1 species